rnacentral:antisense_RNA from 1 species
CUUCACCGAGCCCAGCCGCAGCGGCUCGGUCCGGUCCUGCCCGUAGGCGGCCAGCAGGGCCUGCGCCUC